UACAGAGGUGGCGAGCGUUGUUCGGAUUUACUGGGCGUAAAGCGUGUGUAGGUGGUUUUGUAUGUCGGAUGUGAAAGCCCAUCGCUCAACGAUGGAACUGCAUUCGAAACUGCAGAGCUAGAGUACAGGAGGGGAGAGCGGAAUUCUUGGUGUAGCGGUGAAAUGCGUUGAUAUCAAGAGGAACACCGGUGGCGAAGGCGGCUCUCUGGACAGAUACUGACACUCAGAUGCGAAAGCGUGGGGAGCAAACAGG
rnacentral:rRNA from 1 species